rnacentral:rRNA from 1 species
GACGAACGCUGGCGGCGUGCUUAACACAUGCAAGUCGAACGGAAAGGCCUGCUUUCCCUUGUGGAUUGCGGGUACUCGAGUGGCGAACGGGUGAGUAACACGUGAGUGAUCUGCCCCCAACUUGGGUAUAAGCCUGGGAAACUGGGUCUAAUUCCCGAUAGGACUGCAGGGUGGUGCCUGUGGUGGAAAACGAUUUUCUAGUGGUUGGGGAUGAGCUCGCGGCCUAUCAGCUUGUUGGUGGGGUAAUGGCCUACCAAGGCGGCGACGGGUAGCCGGCCUGAGAGGGGGGACGGUGAGAUUGGGACUGGGAUACGGCCCAGACUGCUACGGGAAGCAGCAGUGGGGGAUAUUGGACCAUGGGCGGAAGCCUGAUGCAGCGACGCCGCGUGGGGGAUGACGGCCUUCGGGUUGUAAACUCCUUGCGACCGCGAGGAAGCCACCUGGAUGGAAGGGUGGUGACGGUAGUGGUAGAAGAAGCACCGGCUAACUACGUG